AGAGUUUGAUCCUGGCUCAGGAUGAACGCUAGCUACAGGCUUAACACAUGCAAGUCGAGGGGCAGCAUGUUGGUUGCUUUGCAACCAACGAUGGCGACCGGCGCACGGGUGAGUAACGCGUAUCCAACCUACCCUUGUCCAUCGGAUAACCCGUCGAAAGGCGGCCUAACACGAUAUGCGGUUCACAGCAGGCAUCUAACGUGAACGAAAUGUAAAGGAGAAGGAUGGGGAUGCGUCUGAUUAGCUUGUUGGCGGGGUAACGCCACAAGGCUACGAUCAGUAGGGGUUCUGAGAGGAAGGUCCCCCANAUUGGAACUGAGACACGGUCCAAACUCCUACGGGAGGCA
rnacentral:rRNA from 1 species